ensembl:lncRNA
GGCAAAUAGAAAGUUUCUUCCUUAUGAUUGGACAGAGGGCUGUCAGUAAGACUAAGGCAAAAGCCAAUGGAACAGGUGGGGCGUUACUUGCCCCACCCUAGCCCUGAGCAGGGGAUUUGAUCUCCUGGAGGGAAGGGGGCACACAGGAGUGGAACUGGACAUUGCUGUGACCCUGUGACCAUGGUCUCCUUUGCACCUUGAACUUUAAGGAGAGGGCACAAGGGCAUCUAACCCAAUCUCCAGCUUCCCAGCCUUUAAAGGUCGCCACCGACCGUACCCAGCAAACAGAGCCACGGUGCUGGGUGAAGCAAAGGGAUCACCAAGCACACCCCGGAGGUCUCAAUGACUCAGUAGGAGUUGGGGCAGGACUCAGAAAUCUAGGGCCAGGCCCCUGGGGAAUUCAAGUCGAGGUCCUUGAAUAUUUCAUCAGCACUUCAGCUCCAGUUGAAGCAGCGGCCAGCUUACAGCUCAUGGAUAAUUUAUGAUCCCAACAGAGAACCUGGAAGUAGUGAGGGGGAAGGGCCUGGAGUGAGGGGGGAGGGCAGGGCCAAGCUGGAGAUAAGAGUGAAGGAGAGAAGCCAGCUGGACAGAAGUGAGUAUGAGAGGUUGGGAGCAAGAGCUCCCAACACCGUGAAACUCUUCCGUGUUUGAGGAUACCAAUGUGUUAAAAAAAAAAAUCAAUAAACAACACAGUGGUAAAAAAGACGACUGGAGGUUAAAGUCAUCGGACAAGCGUUUUCUGACUUCCAGGCCUGACCCUAGGUCUGCGAAGGAGUGUAUAAUCUUAUCCCGAGAUAACAAAACAAUGUAAUGGUUCUGUGUGACUGUGAGGCCCUCAAAUAACCCCACCUACUGUACACUUGGGCAAGCCAGGGAGACAAGCUAGACUUCCCACUUGGACUGGUUGAACCCAUCCCUUACCAGCCUCUUCCUCCAGAAAGACCCUAAGAAUGUAGCCAAGUGGUUAAGGGGCAAAGAAGGAAAGAAAUCAGGUCACCUCUGAAUUUAUCCAAGGAACAUGGCAGUAGUCCCUCCUCCUCUUCCUCCUCCUCCUCUUUUUUCCAG